GAUGAACGCUGGCGGCGUGCCUAAUACAUGCAAGUCGAGCGAACGGACGAGAAGCUUGCUUUUCUGAUGUUAGCGGCGGACGGGUGAGUAACACGUGGAUAACCUACCUAUAAGACUGGGAUAACUUCGGGAAACCGGAGCUAAUACCGGAUAAUAUUUUGAACCGCAUGGUUCAAAAGUGAAAGACGGUCUUGCUGUCACUUAUAGAUGGAUCCGCGCUGCAUUAGCUAGUUGGUAAGGUAACGGCUUACCAAGGCAACGAUGCAUAGCCGACCUGAGAGGGGGAUCGGCCACACUGGAACUGAGACACGGUCCAGACUCCUGCGGGAGGCAGCAGUAGGGGAUCUUCCGCAAUGGGCGAAAGCCUGACGGAGCAACGCCGCGUGAGUGAUGAAGGUCUUCGGAUCGUAAAACUCUGUUAGUAGGGAAGAACAUAUGAGUAAGUAACUUGGCACAUCUUGACGGUACCUAAUCAGAAAGCCACGGCUAACUACGUG
rnacentral:rRNA from 1 species